GCUUUACUGUUCCCUGGGAUUGGUUUUGGGCUUUUCCUGUGCAGCUUAGGUGGAAGGCGAAGAAGGCCCCCUUCCGGGGGGUCAUGCCAUCAGUGAUAUACCACUCUGGAAGAGCUCGGAUUCUAACCUUGUGUCAGACCCUCGGGCCAAGGGACAGUCUCAGGUAGACAGUUUCUAUGGGGAGUAGGCCUCCCAAAAGUUAACGGAUGCAUGCAAUGGUUUCCUCAGGCCAUACAAACAUUGGUCCUCGAGUGCAAAGGAAGAAGGGAGCUUGACUGCAAGAUUCACCCGUUGAGCAGAGACGAAAGUCGGCCCAUUUAAAUAGGUGUCAAGU
rnacentral:rRNA from 7 species